ACGGAUUUGAGAUUGAAAAAAAUACGUGUUAAACAAUCCGAGGUCUUGGAAUAAACUGUGAGCCACAUGCUUCGUUUUAGAAUGAAGACUUCUACUGUCCGGUAUUAUAUGCUCGACUGCUUUAUAUUGCGAAGCACUUCAAAAAUUGUUCUCCUAUAAUUUGGAGAAUGUAAUAAUUAUUUACAAUUGAAACUUACGUAAGCUGCUGUCAUUGCGGGAUAAACUUCGAAUCCUGGCAUCACGUAGUACUGAGCCAUAAGGAACAUUUUUGUUGAAACUGCCAAGAAUGAAGCGGAACUCAAAUAAAAGAAGCAGGACAGACUGUUGAAUAUUACUUC